UAAUAAUAUAGUUUAAUUUAAUUAAUAUAAAUAAAUUACAUAAGAAUAAUAUUAUAAUAAUAUUAUAUAUUAUAUAAAGAAAUAAUAAUUUAUAUUUUUAUUUUUUUUAUAAAUAAUAUAAAUAUAAAUAUAAUGGGGUUAUAGUUAAAUUUGGUAGAACGACUGCGUUGCAUGCAUUUAAUAUGAGUUCAAGUCUCAUUAACUCCAAUAAUUAUAUUAUAUAAUAUAUAUAUUAAUAAAUUAUAUAUAUAUAUAUAUAUAUAAAUAUUAAAUAAAUAUUAUAUUAAUAAAUAAUAUAAAUUAUCUAAUCGAAGGAGAUAUUUAUAAUAUAAUAUAAAUAUUUUAAUAAAUUAAUAAAUAUUAUAUUAAUAAAUAAUUAAUAAAUAUAUAAAUUAUAAUAAAUUUUAAUAUUAUUAUAUAAAUUAAUUAAAUAUAAUAAUUAAUGAAAUAGAAACUAUAAUUCAAUUGGUUAGAAUAGUAUUUUGAUAAGGUACAAAUAUAGGUUCAAUCCCUGUUAGUUUCAUAUUAUAUAUCAUUAAUAUAUAAAAUAUAAAUAUAUAUAUUAUAAUAAUAAUAAUAAUAAAUAUAAAUAUAAUUAUAUAUAUAUAUAUAUAUAAAUAAAUAAUUAUUUAAUUUAUAAUAAAUAUAUAUAGUUCCCGCGAAGCGGGAACCCCAUAAGGAGUUUUAUUAUUAAUUAUAUUUAAUAAAUAUUAAUUAUUAAUUUUAUAUUUAUAAAUAAAUUUAUUACUCCUUCUUAAUUAAGAAUAAAAAGGGAUGCGGUUCCCAUGGGGUCCCGCACUCCUUCGGGGUCCGCCCCCUCCCCUGCGGGAGGGGAGCGGACUAUUUUAUUAAAAAUAUUAUAAUUAAAUAAUAAUAUAAAUAAUUUAUAAUAUAAUAAUAUAUACUUAUAAAUAAUAUUUAAAUCUUAUUAUUAAUUUAUAAAUCAUAAAUUAUUAUUAAUAAAUAUCUCUUUUAGAUAAAUUGAACUUAUAUUUAUAUUAUAUAUAUAUAGAUAUAAAUCUUAAAUAAAGUAAAUAUAUUAUAAUAAUUAUAUAAAUAUAUAUAUAUUAUAUUAAGAUAAUAAUAUAUAUAUAUAUUAAUAUAUAAGGAGGGAUUUUCAAUGUUGGUAGUUGGAGUUGAGCUGUAAACUCAAUGACUUAGGUCUUCAUAGGUUCAAUUCCUAUUCCCUUCAUAAAUAAUUUAUUAUUAAUUAUAUAUUAUUAUAAAUCCAUUGAAAUUAAUAUAAUCCAAUGAAUAAUUAAUUUAAUACAUAAUUUAAUAUAUGAAAUUAUAUAUAUAUAUACUUUAUUAAAAAAAAAUUAUAUAAUAAUUAUAUUAAUAUAUUUAUAUAUAUAAAUAAAUAAAUAAUAAUAAUUAUAAUUAUAAUUAUAAUUAAUUAAUUAAUUAAUAAAUAAAUAAUAAUUUAUAUUAUCUUUAUAAUAUAUAUAUAUACUUUUAUAAAAAAAAUAUAUAAAUAAUUUUAAAAUGUAUAUUUUUAUUAAUAAAAUUAAUAAUAAAAUAAUUAUUAUCUGUAUUUAAUAAAUUUAAUUAAAGAGUUAUAUUUCUAUAUAUUUAUAUAUUUAUUUAUUUAUUCUCCUUCCGG
rnacentral:tRNA from 1 species